rnacentral:antisense_RNA from 1 species
CUUGACGGAGCCGAGCCACAACGGCCGUCCCCGCGGCCGGUCGUGGCCGUAAGUGGCGAGCAGCGCGCGCGCCUC